CGGGGUGAGUAAUGUCUGGGAAACUAGCCUGAUGGAGGGGGAUAACUACUGGAAACGGUAGCUAAUACCGCAUAACGUCGCAAGACCAAAGAGGGGGACCUUCGGGCCUCUUGCCAUCGGAUGUGCCCAGAUGGGAUUAGCUAGUAGGUGGGGUAACGGCUCACCUAGGCGACGAUCCCUAGCUGGUCUGAGAGGAUGGCCAGCCACACUGGAACUGAGACACAGUCCAG
rnacentral:rRNA from 1 species